rnacentral:rRNA from 1 species
GACGAACGCUGGCGGCGUGCCUAAUACAUGCAAGUUGAGCGCUGAAGGUUGGUACUUGUACCAACUGGAUGAGCAGCGAACGGGUGAGUAACGCGUGGGGAAUCUGCCUUUGAGCGGGGGACAACAUUUGGAAACGAAUGCUAAUACCGCAUAAAAACUUUAAACACAAGUUUUAAGUUUGAAAGAUGCAAUUGCAUCACUCAAAGAUGAUCCCGCGUUGUAUUAGCUAGUUGGUGAGGUAAAGGCUCACCAAGGCGAUGAUACAUAGCCGACCUGGGAGGGUGGACGGCCACAAUGGGACUGAGACACGGCCCAAACUCCUACGGGAGGCAGCAGUAGGGAAUCUUCGGCAAUGGACGAAAGUCUGACCGAGCAACGCCGCGUGAGUGAAGAAGGUUUUCGGAUCGUAAAACUCUGUUGGUAGAGAAGAACGUUGGUGAGAGUGGAAAGCUCAUCAAGUGACGGUAACUACCCAGAAAGGGACGGCUAACUACGUG